AUUGAACGCUGGCGGCAGGCCUAACACAUGCAAGUCGAACGAGUGGCGGACGGGUGAGUAAUGUCUGGGAAACUGCCCGAUGGAGGGGGAUAACUACUGGAAACGGUAGCUAAUACCGCAUACCAUCGGAUGUGCCCAGAUGGGAUUAGCUUGUAGGUGAGGUAACGGCUCACCUAGGCGACGAUCCCUAGCUGGUCUGAGAGGAUGACCAGCCAAACUGGAACUGAGAUACGGUCCAGACCCCUACGGGAGGCCGCGGUUGGGAAUAGUGCGCAAGGGGUGCAAGCCUGAUUCAGCCAGGCCGCGGGGAUGAAGAAGGCCUUCGGGUUUUAAAGUACUUUCCGCGGGGAGGCGUUACCCGCAGAAGAAGCACCGGCUAACUCCGUGCCAGCAGCCGCGGUAAUAC
rnacentral:rRNA from 1 species